GGCUCUGUAGCUCAAUUGGAUAGAGCAUCUGACUACGGAUCAGAAGGUUAGGGGUUCGACUCCCUUCAGAGUCA
rnacentral:tRNA from 1 species